rnacentral:rRNA from 1 species
UACGUAGGGAGCAAGCGUUGUCCGGAAUCAUUGGGCGUAAAGCGCGCGUAGGUGGCCUCGUAAGUCCGCUGUGAAAGUCAAAGGCUCAACCUUUGAAAGCCGGUGGAUACUGUGAGGCUAGAGUACGGAAGAGGCGAGUGGAAUUCCUGGUGUAGCGGUGGAAUGCGCAGAUAUCAGGAAGAACACCCGUGGCGAAAGCGGCUCUCUGGAACGGUACUGACGCUGAGACGCGAAAGCGUGGGGAGCGAACAGG